rnacentral:rRNA from 1 species
UACAGAGGUCCCGAGCGUUGUUCGGAUUCAUUGGGCGUAAAGGGUGCGUAGGCGGCGGGGCCAGUCUGAUGCGAAAUCCCGGGGCUCAACCCCGGAACUGCAUUGGAUACUGCCUUGCUAGAGUACUGGAGAGGGAACUGGAAUUUACGGUGUAGCAGUGAAAUGCGUAGAGAUCGUAAGGAAGGCCAGUGGCGAAGGCGAGUUCCUGGACAGUGACUGACGCUGAGGCACGAAGGCCAGGGGAGCAAACGGG